rnacentral:rRNA from 1 species
AACGAACGCUGGCGGCAGGCCUAACACAUGCAAGUCGAGCGCGCCCUUCGGGGUGAGCGGCGGACGGGUGAGUAACGCGUGGGAACGUGCCCUUUUCUACGGAAUAGCCUCGGGAAACUGAGAGUAAUACCGUAUACGCCCUUUGGGGGAAAGAUUUAUCGGAAAAGGAUAGGCCCGCGUUGGAUUAGGUAGUUGGUGGGGUAAUGGCCUACCAAGCCGACGAUCCAUAGCUGGUUUGAGAGGAUGAUCAGCCACACUGGGACUGAGACACGGCCCAGACUCCUACGGGAGGCAGCAGUGGGGAAUCUUAGACAAUGGGGGCAACCCUGAUCUAGCCAUGCCGCGUGAGUGAUGAAGGCCUUAGGGUUGUAAAGCUCUUUCAGCUGGGAAGAUAAUGACGGUACCAGCAGAAGAAGCCCCGGCUAACUCCGUG